UUGAUAAGCGUGAGGUCGGAGGUUCAAGUCCUCCCAGGCCCACCAAAUUAUCGCUCACGUGCCGUAUCGCAGCUAUCGCUGCUGGCACUUCGCGUGAGCGCAGCAUGGGCUGCGACGGCCGCUUGGCCUUGCAAAGCUUUGCUUUGAUAAAUGUGAUAAGGGGCUUUAGCUCAGCUGGGAGAGCACCUGCUUUG
rnacentral:rRNA from 1 species